UACGUAGGGUGCGAGCGUUGUCCGGAAUUAUUGGGCGUAAAGAGCUCGUAGGCGGCUUGUCGCGUCGGAUGUGAAAGCCCGGGGCUUAACUCCGGGUCUGCAUUCGAUACGGGCAGGCUAGAGUUCGGUAGGGGAGAUCGGAAUUCCUGGUGUAGCGGUGAAAUGCGCAGAUAUCAGGAGGAACACCGGUGGCGAAGGCGGAUCUCUGGGCCGUAACUGACGCUGAGGAGCGAAAGCAUGGGUAGCGAACAGG
rnacentral:rRNA from 1 species